AGAAAGACUGUCCUUGCCCUGAGCAGUGAACAGACAGACACAGGGGCUGGAAGUGGAAGCUCCAAAGCAAAACAAGAAAGGAUCGCCUUGGUGUGUUUUUCCGCCCCGGAAACUUUCUGGAACUGUUACCUGGUAGAAGGAAACAUCUUCUGACCCUUACACGUGAUUUUGAGGGCAUAUUAUGGAAGCAGAAAGAAAGCUGAUCUACAUUGUAA
rnacentral:lncRNA from 1 species